ensembl:lncRNA
CAGAUCUUUAUGUAUUGAACAUUUGUGCAACUGAUACAACUUUUGAGUGUUUUUGUGUUCAUUAAAAUUAAUAUUUAAAAAAUCUAAAAUAAAAACUUUUGUCCACACUGAACUGCACAAAGCUGACUAAGAAGUUACACCAUAGUAGGAGGAGUUACAACACAGUGGGAGGGAUUAUAUAACAAUGGGAGGAGUUAUACAACAGUGGGAGGAGUUAUACCACAGUGGGAGGGGUUACAGGACAGAAGAAGGAGUUACAUGACAGUGGGAGGAGUUACAGGACAGAGGAAGGUUACAUGACAGUGGGAGGAGUUACAUGAUAGUGGGAGGGGUUACACCACAGUGAAAGGGGUUACUGGACAGGGGAAGGAGUUUCUUGGCAGUGGGAGGACUUACACCAGAGUGGGAGGAGUUACAUGAUAGUGGAAGGAGUUACAUCACAGUGGGAGGGGUUACAGGACAGAGGAAGGAGUUAGACCACAGUGGGAGGAGUUACACAAAAGUGGGAGGGGUUACAGGACAGAAGAAGUAGUUCCAUGGCAGUGGGAGCAGUUUAACCAGAGUGGGAGGAGUUACAUGGCAGUGGGAGGAGUUCUUUCUUUCGCUCUGAUGAGAAACAGUAGUUAUAUACAGCGUCUAAAGCUAACGAGUGGAACAGAUGAAGUAACACUAAUCUGUGUGAAAGUAAACAUCAGGUGUGUGAUGCGCGUUACGCGCUCGUCUCUGUUCUCAGAUCAGAUUAGCAAAGCGUGCUAACUGCACGAGCUACAUACACUCACCACAGGCACCAACAGUCUGCUGCUUCCAAGCUCUAUUCUUCCUCCUAACGUCUCUGUACACGUGUAAUGAGAGUCGGACGUGACGGGAGAAGAUGAAACCGUAACGAGGUCCUACGCUUUCCUCCGUGUUCGCAGGAACUGACUGCAGUUAGGAAAUAAAUUUGUGAGCAGGGAACUGAAGAAAGAUCGGACCCAGGCGUAGGAUCGGUCCGAGGAAUCGGUCAGCGUGGUACCUGAUCGCAUCGGACUGAGGAUCUGUGGUCUGGGGUGGAGGGUCAACGUGGGGGUUCUUCUUAGCUCCAGGACGGAAUGAAUGACGUGAGCGGUGUGUGUCUCAGCAGAUCGGCUGCGUUUCACUGGGUUAAAGGUCACAGUUUGCGCUGUUCUGCGUCUUCACUGGGUUUUAAACGAUGAGAACUGAAGCGGACGAGAGAAAAGACCAGCUUCUUCUCUUUCAUACGCCGAGAACAGAUUUGGUGAGCAUCCAUAAACAGCAGGGAACCGAGGAACGGAACAAAAACCCCUAAAUCCACCUCUCACUCACUCACUCACACACACACACACACUCACACACACACACACACACACACACACACACACACGGAGCUCCUCCAACACCAAUUACACGAGCGGGAGCUGAGUAGCAGCGGGGUUUUUAUUCAGCUGAAUUUUGGUGUCUUUUUCUGCAGUCGAACUCCACGACCUCUCGCCUAUCAGACUCCACUCACUCACACACACACACACACUCACACACUCCACGUCUCAUCCAUGUCAUCUCACACACACACACACUCCGUUCUUAAGCACUCAUCCCCUGUUCAUCAGCUGCACCCUGCACGAUGUCCUGUAGUGAUAGAAACAGUGAUGAAUGCAAGUUGAUUUAUUUUCCUUUAACAGCCCUGAAUAACGUUCCUCUUACUCCAUGGCAAUUUUAUAUUUAUUAAA